AGUAGACUGUGCCAUAAUUCGUUACAAUAAUAUUUUAUUGCCCUUUUCCAUUUUGCACUGCCUUCUCCAGCAAACAAUCUUUUAUCAAAGAAGUCCCAUAAUUGGUUCUUAAUGCAAAGCCAACUGCCUGCAGAAAUGAGCCAUCUGAAUGGAAGACAGAGUGGGUACAAAACUGGAAUCCCUAGUGCACACACUUACUCUACUUUGGUGUAAGGAAUCUCUCUUAAUUGUUCCUCAGAGAGGCCUGAUGGGUCCACGAGUUCCUUCCUGGAAAAACAUUAGACAUUACAUUAGACAUUACAUAAAAACAGAGCUAUGCCAAAUUCACUAGUGGCAACCCAGCCCUGCAGAAAUACAUACUGAAUGUGUUUCCACAAUUCUUCCUUUGCUUGCACAUCUGGACUUCUCCUAUAAAUGCCAACAAAAAAAGUCAUGUAGUCAUAAUCCAAAUAGACCCAAACUCCAAAAUUGUGCUAGCUAAGAACAGUGAUUUUAAUAUUAUACUUUUAGUAGAACAAUUCAUUCAAAUUUCCAUGAUAUUUACUUUCUUCCUUCCCUUCUUUUUGGUAAUAUGUAUUUCUAGGAUGAGUCACAAAUUGUAUACCUCAAGCCUUUAAGAAAAGUAUACAUAGGAGACACUAGUUGUUUUUAGCAGAAGCACAGUCAGGUUGGAGCCCUCAAGUGGAUUAGCAGAGCCUUGCCUGCUAGGUUGUAAACCCCAUACAGCAGCAUUUGCAACUUCCUCUACCUGGAAGCUUGAGAACUGCUAGAGAACCUAUAUGGCACUGUGUGAACUCUCACACAAGUACUUACAGAACUGACAUUUACCUAAAUGCUAUUUAACUUCCUUGGUUCCUUGGAUCCAGUGUAAAAAAGUCAGAAGACAGUCCUAAAUUAUAGCUAGGCUCAUUCGAGAGAUUCAAAAUUUUGCUAAAAACAAGCCUUAAGCUUCCCUAUGAAAUAUGUUUGCUUUUUGUAAUCAUACAGCUUUAAAUAUGUAGCUUACUCACCUGAAGAAUGUAUGGUGUUCUACACAGCAUUUCCAUAAAUUUCUGCAUGCGGUUUUGCUAUGUGCUUCAAAAAAGAAGGAGGUUUCAUUACACUGAAAUUUAAAAAAGUAAUAAG